rnacentral:lncRNA from 1 species
CCCUGAAGGAGAGUUUUUUGUCUCUAGGCCUUCCACCUUAGACGCAUAUGUGUUUGGCUUCCUUGCACCUCUUUAUAAAGUGCGUUUUCCCAAAGUUCACUUACAAGAGCAUCUGAAACAGCUCCCCAACCUGUGUCGCCUCUGCGAUGACAUCCUGGACAGCUACUUCAGGCACGGUGCUGGAGGUGAGUCGGUGUUUCUUCAGUUAAUGGUUUCCAGUGUUGGUAUUUUAACAGUCUCCCGACAGUGCAGAAGUAGAACACGUUUGUGGAUUGUCUUGGAUUCUGGGUCAUAGCUUCAAGACCUGGUGAUUUUCUAGUCCCAUUCGCUCCCAUGUUCUUACAUGGAGAAAGAGGCGUUUGUCUCCCACCGUCCUCUGCACUUUGCA